CAGUCGCCGCGGGAAAACGAAGGGGGCUAGCGUUGUUCGGAAUUACUGGGCGUAAAGCGCACGUAGGCGGAUAUUUAAGUCAGGGGUGAAAUCCCGCAGCUCAACUGCGGAACUGCCUUUGAUACUGGGUAUCUUGAGUAUGGAAGAGGUUAGUGGAAUUGCGAGUGUAGAGGUGAAAUUCGUAGAUAUUCGCAGGAACACCAGUGGCGAAGGCGGCUAACUGGUCCAUAACUGACGCUGAGGUGCGAAAGCGUGGGGAGCAAACAGGAUUAGAUACCCCUGUAGUCCCUGUCUCUUAUAC
rnacentral:rRNA from 1 species